UGCACUUUUAUUUAUUUAUUGUAUCUAUUUAUUUAGCUGGACUUAAAUGAACGACGACUGCCCUGUGGCCGCUGCCAGCGACAGUCUCAAGGUGGGAAAGCAGCGUUGGGUGGACCGGGCAGGCGAGGACCGCGCCCCACCGAUCGCAGGCGCUCGGCCCCGGAGACGGGGCUUCCUCAGUCUUGGACUGAAGACUUUGGGCGGUGCUCAGAGGUGGAGGUACAGAUACACGCCAGGCUACCUUUUGCGGGUUACUCUCCUAAAACUGCCGGGAGGAAUGUCGCUGGCUCACACUACAGGUCUUCUUUUGCUGAUACUGCUGCUGAUAGAACCCAGGAAGACUCUGGGCGGUGAGUGUCCUGAGAUCUGGAGAACUGGCUGCGGAGGGGGAGGAUGGGAGGCGGGCAGGAAUGGAAAGGGCUCCACAGUGGUAGGCACCUGUCCACAGUGCUCUUAG
rnacentral:lncRNA from 1 species